rnacentral:rRNA from 1 species
CGAUUGAACGCUGGCGGCAUGCCUUACACAUGCAAGUCGAACGGUAACAGGUCUUCGGAUGCUGACGAGUGGCGAACGGGUGAGUAAUAUAUCGGAACGUGCCCAGUCGUGGGGGAUAACGCAGCGAAAGCUGUGCUAAUACCGCAUACGAUCUAUGGAUGAAAGCGGGGGAUCGCAAGACCUCGCGCGAUUGGAGCGGCCGAUAUCAGACUAGGUAGUUGGUGGGGUAAAGGCCCACCAAGCCAACGAUCUGUAGCUGGUCUGAGAGGACGACCAGCCACACUGGAACUGAGACACGGUCCAGACUCCUACGGGAGGCAGCAGUGGGGAAUUUUGGACAAUGGGCGCAAGCCUGAUCCAGCAAUGCCGCGUGCAGGAUGAAGGCCUUCGGGUUGUAAACUGCUUUUGUACGGAACGAAAAGGCUCUGGUUAAUACCUGGGGCUCAUGACGGUACCGUAAGAAUAAGCACCGGCUAACUACGUG